UCAGUUCCCCGUCCAUAGGAGUGGAACAAAGCGGAUGCACCGAUCCAGGCCUGCUCACACCCUGCUCCUUGUCCCCCGCCUCUCCUGGGACAUGGAGGCCCUCCAGUUCAUGCUCAACAAUGUUGCUGUCUGUGUGCCUGCAGCGCUGAGUCCUCGUCACCAAGAUCAGUAGGAGCCAGUCCUUCGCCGGAGUGAACUUAACAGCCAACCAGCCCUUCAGAGCCUACCUGGAGGUGCACCAGCUGGAAUUGGAGAAGCUCAGCACCCAGAUCUGAGAGUCCAAGAGGAAUUCUCGCCUGGUGAGUGUUGCUUGGGAAGACCCUUAUGAGGGACAGUGAUUUGGGCAGAUGGUCAUGGGCACAUAUGGGGCAGCUCAUGGUCCAUCUGUGUCCCUGUUUCUGUGGAGAUAUCAGGGGCCAGCC